GGAUGAUCAGCCACACUGGAACUGAGACACGGUCCAGACUCCUACGGGAGGCAGCAGUGGGGAAUAUUGGACAAUGGGCGCAAGCCUGAUCCAGCCACGCCGCGUGUGUGAAGAAGGCCUUCGGGUUGUAAAGCACUUUCAGUUGGGAGGAAGGGUUGUGUGUUAAUAGUACACAGCCUUGACGUUACCAACAGAAGAAGCACCGGCUAACUCUGUGCCAGCAGCCGCGGUAAUACAGAGGGUGCAAGCGUUAAUCGGAAUUACUGGGCGUAAAGCGCACGUAGGCGGUUUUUUAAGUCAGAUGUGAAAGCCCCGGGCUCAACCUGGGAAUUGCAUUUGAAACUGGAAAACUAGAGUGUGUGAGAGGGGGGUAGAAUUCCAAGUGUAGCGGUGAAAUGCGUAGAGAUUUGGNAGGAAUACCAGUGGCGAAGGCGGCCCCCUGGCACAACACUGACGCUCAGGUGCGAAAGCGUGGGGAGCAAACAGGAUUAGAUACCCUGGUAGUCCACGCCGUAAACGAUGUCUACUAGCUGUUCGUGACCUUGUGUCGUGAGUAGCGCAGCUAACGCACUAAGUAGACCGCCUGGGGANGUACGGUCGCAAGANUUANAANACUCAAANUGAAUUGACGGGGGCCCGCACAAGCGGUGGAGCAUGUGGUUUAAUUCGACGCAACGCGAAGGACCUUACCUACUCUUGACAUCCAGAGAAGACUGCAGAGAUGCGGUUGUGCCUUCGGGAACUCUGAGACAGGUGCUGCAUGGCUGUCGUCAGCUCGUGUUGUGAAAUGUUGGGUUAAGUCCCGCAACGAGCGCAACCCUUAUCCUUAGUUGCCAGCACGUAAUGGUGGGAACUCUAGGGAGACUGCCGGUGAUAAACCGGAGGAAGGUGGGGACGACGUCGAGUCAUCAUGGCCCUUACGAGUAGGGCUACACACGUGCUACAAUGGUAUGUACAGAGGGAGGCAAGCUGGCGACAGUGAGCGGGAUCUCUUAAAGCAUAUCGUAGUCCGGAUCGCAGUCUGCAACUCGACUGCGUGAAGUCGGAAUCGCUAGUAAUCGCAAAUCAGAA
rnacentral:rRNA from 1 species